AGUCCGCCGGUCGUGGGCGUGCGCAUGCGUGGCCAGCGAGGUCCAGGGGCGCAGUGGGGGGAGCCCCCGGGUGGACAUCGGCCCCUUGCCUACGCAGGGCCGCCGCGAGGAUUUUCGGAGGGUCCGCCGCCGGGUCUGGGGAACCCAGCCUUCCAUGCCAAUCUACCGCUAGCUGGAGCUGCCCCAGCCCCGCUGGUCAGGGACCCUGGGUGAGGGCCAGCUUUCCGGUUAGCAUCACCUGGGGGGAGCAGGAGCGAGAGUAGGCCUCAAAAAUGACGUAAAAAGGCGCAGGCGACUCCUGUGUGCACUGUUGGGAGAGCUGUGAUUUAUCUAUCUAUCAGUGGGCUUUCCCUGCUCUCUGGCUGGUUCUGAGGGCUGGACCUCGCUCCCCGCCACUGCCACCCCCACCCCCCAGGAUUCAGUGGUCUCCUGCUGCUAUCAGAAGUGGCAUCUCAGGCCUGCCACUUGCUUUUGGAGUUGGGUGCAGAAGUGUCCUGACUCUCAGCCCCUUGGAAGGCCCAGGUGAUUCCUGUGCCCCACAAGACUGAGAGGCGCUGCUUCAAGAGAUUACAGCUGAAUAGAAAAAGAAAAGUCGGAAAAUGAUAGCAGUGAAAUGUAAGAGAAAAGUGGGGAAAAAGUAGUUCAGGAGGAGCACAGAGCCCUUGCUUCCCAUUUGUGUACACCUCUGCUCUGUGGGUACACCCCAUCUCUUCCAGCUGCCAACACACACACACACACACACACACACACACACACACACA
rnacentral:lncRNA from 1 species